UACGUAGGGUGCAAGCGUUGUCCGGAAUUAUUGGGCGUAAAGAGCUCGUAGGCGGUUUGUCGCGUCGGCUGUGAAAACUCGGGGCUCAACCCCGAGCCUGCAGUCGAUACGGGCAAACUAGAGUGUGGUAGGGGAGACUGGAAUUCCUGGUGUAGCGGGGAAAUGCGCAGAUAUCAGGAGGAACACCGGCGGCGAAGGCGGCAUCCUGGCCCUUACCUGACGCUGAGGCGUGAGAGCGUGGGGAGCAAACCGG
rnacentral:rRNA from 1 species